CGGACGGUGAGUAUCGUACCGGGAAACUGCCGAGUGGAGGGGAUAACUACUGGAACGGUAGCUAAUACCGCAUAACGUCGCAAGACCAGAGAGGGGGACCUUCGGGCCUCUUGCCAUCGGAUGUGCCCAGAUGGGAUUAGCUAGUAGGUGGGGUAACGGCUCACCUAGGCGACGAUCCCUAGCUGGUCUGAGAGGAUGACCAGCCACACUGGAACUGAGACACGGUCCAG
rnacentral:rRNA from 1 species